rnacentral:rRNA from 1 species
UACGUAGGUGGCAAGCGUUGUCCGGAAUUAUUGGGCGUAAAGCGCGCGCAGGUGGUUCCUUAAGUCUGAUGUGAAAGCCCACGGCUCAACCGUGGAGGGUCAUUGGAAACUGGGGAACUUGAGUGCAGAAGAGGAAAGUGGAAUUCCAAGUGUAGCGGUGAAAUGCGUAGAGAUUUGGAGGAACACCAGUGGCGAAGGCGACUUUCUGGACCGACAUUGACGCUGAACGGCGAAAGCUAGGGGAGCAAACGGG